GACGAACGCGGGCGGCGUGCCUAAUACAUGCAAGUAGAACGCACAGUAUAUACCGUAGCUUGCUACACCAUAGACUUUGAGUUGCGAACGGGUGAGUAACGCGUAGGUAACCUGCCUGGUAGCGGGGGAUAACUAUUGGAAACGAUAGCUAAUACCGCAUAAUAUUAAUUAUUGCAUGAUAAUUGAUUGAAAGAUGCAACUGCAUCACUACCAGAUGGACCUGCGUUGUAUUAGCUAGUAGGUGAGGUAACGGCUCACCUAGGCGACGAUACAUAGCCGACCUGAGAGGGUGAUCGGCCACACUGGGACUGAGACACGGCCCAGACUCCUACGGGAGGCAGCAGUAGGGAAUCUUCGGCAAUGGACGAAAGUCUGACCGAGCAACGCCGCGUGAGUGAAGAAGGUUUUCGGAUCGUAAAGCUCUGUUGUAAGAGAAGAACGGGUGUGAGAGUGGAAAGUUCACACUGUGACGGUAUCUUACCAGAAAGGGACGGCUAACUACGUGCCAGCAGCCGCGGUAAUACGUAGGUCCCGAGCGUUGUCCGGAUUUAUUGGGCGUAAAGCGAGCGCAGGCGGUUAGAUAAGUCUGAAGUUAAAGGCUGUGGCUUAACCAUAGUACGCUUUGGAAACUGUUUAACUUGAGUGCAGAAGGGGAGAGUGGAAUUCCAUGUGUAGCGGUGAAAUGCGUAGAUAUAUGGAGGAACACCGGUGGCGAAAGCGGCUCUCUGGUCUGUAACUGACGCUGAGGCUCGAAAGCGUGGGGAGCGAACAGG
rnacentral:rRNA from 1 species